GUGGGGAAUUUUGGACAAUGGGCGCAAGCCUGAUCCAGCAAUGCCGCGUGCAGGAAGAAGGCCUUCGGGUUGUAAACUGCUUUUGUACGGAACGAAAAGGCUCUGGUUAAUACCUGGGGCUCAUGACGGUACCGUAAGAAUAAGCACCGGCUAACUACGGGCCAGCAGCCGCGGUAAUACGUAGGGUGCAAGCGUUAAUCGGAAUUACUGGGCGUAAAGCGUGCGCAGGCGGUUUUGUAAGACAGACGUGAAAUCCCCGGGCUCAACCUGGGAAUGGCGUUGGUGACUGCAAAGCUGGAGUGCGGCAGAGGGGGAUGGAAUUCCGCGUGUAGCAGUGAAAUGCGUAGAUAUGCGGAGGAACACCGAUGGCGAAGGCAAUCCCCUGGGCCUGCACUGACGCUCAUGCACGAAAGCGUGGGGAGCAAACAGGAUUAGAAACCCGAGUAGUCC
rnacentral:rRNA from 1 species